rnacentral:rRNA from 1 species
CAAGUCGAGCGGAGUAAAGACUUCGGUUUUUAUUUAGCGGUGGACGGGUGAGUAACACGUAGGUAACCUGCCUAACAGACUGGGAUAACUACCGGAAACGGUAGCUAAGACCGGAUACGUCCAUUUGGGGGCAUCCUCGAACGGAGAAAAGCGGAGCAAUCUGCUACUGAUAGAUGGACCUGCGGCGCAUUAGCUAGUUGGUGAGGUAGCGGCUCACCAAGGCGACGAUGCGUAGCCGACCUGAGAGGGUGAACGGCCACACUGGGACUGAGACACGGCCCAGACUCCUACGGGAGGCAGCAGUAGGGAAUCUUCGGCAAUGGACGAAAGUCUGACCGAGCAACGCCGCGUGAGUGAUGAAGGUUUUCGGAUCGUAAAACUCUGUUGCCAGGGAAGAAUGAUGUGGAGAGUAACUGCUCUGCAUAUGACGGUACCUGAGAAGAAAGCCCCGGCUAACUACGUGCCAGCAGCCGCGGUAAUACGUAGGGGGCAAGCGUUGUCCGGAAUUAUUGGGCGUAAAGCGCGCGCAGGCGGUCAUUUAAGUCUGGUGUAUAAACCAAGGGCUCAACCUUUGGACGCAUUGGAAACUGGGUGACUGGAGUGUAGGAGA